GGAAGUGGUAUGCCUCUUUGUAUGGCUUUUACUAUGGCUAUUAGGAUGUGAGAUUGAGACCUUCCUCCUCCCCUCUUGAAAGCAAGAGAGACGUCCUAUCUC